rnacentral:lncRNA from 1 species
GCCCCCUUGAUUUAAUUUUAUUUUCUUGAGAUCCCUUGAGCAAAAUUAUAAAUAACGAUACCUGGAAUACUUAUCCUGGUGAAAUGCUACAAUGAGGUGAUUUAUCUGUGCGCUUGCGGAUAGAAUAGAUUAUUUUCUAGAGAGCCUUUACAUUUAUAAAUACCUUUGUACACUCUAGCGCCAUGCUAGGGAUGACAACCUAGUAUCUAAGUGGUGUUAGCUAGUGUCAACAAGCAUUUCUGGCGCCGUUGCCGGGGAACUUAUAGGAAUUUAUACGAGUCUCAGGAAUAAGUCAUAAAAGGGAACAAAAGGAUAAUAUUUAGGCAAGCCAGAAAAUCAAUCAAGGUUAUUCAUAUAAAAUAUUAGACUAGACUAUAGAGAAAUAAUUGCAUAAAAAACAGCUACUAAGUGAGAAAUCAUAACAAGGCACCUCUGCUUUGGCAGGUUCACCCUGUUGUUUUUCUAUGUUUAUAUUUUUAUACAGGGUAUAACAGGAUUGACUUUGGGUACAUUCAACUCUCGAUCAUCAGAACCAAAGCAAUCAAGAGAAGAAGAAGCUAGAUACCAAUUGCUGAAGCUAUGGCACAAAAGACCUUGCAAGAAUUCUCUGCUCCAAGCCUUGAGAACAUUCUAACUGGUCCAAGAUUUGCAGUAGAAGAAGGAAUACCUGAGUUUGAGCUCAAGUCAAGCCUCAACAAUUUGGUGUAAGCCACACAAUUUAGUGGAAAGGCACAUGAAGAUGCUAGUGCACACUUGCAGAAUUUCUUAGAGAUUGGAAGCACAAUCCACAUCAAUGGAGUUGACAAAGACGUCAUACUGCUUCGCCUUUUUCCAUUCUCACUAGAAGGGAAAGCGAGGAAGUGGUUCUACACUCAUCAAGAUAACAUCAACAACUGGACGAACUUGUCAAAUGCCUUUCUAUCAAAGUUUUUCCCUAUAGGCAAAACAACUGCCUUAAGAGGAAAUAUUGUCAGUUUCCAACAACAGAAGACAGAAGCCAUUUCAGAAGCAUGGGAGCGUUUUCAAGGAUACAUAUCAGAUUGUCCUCACCAUGGAAUGGCCACAUGGUUACUUAUGCAGACCUUCUACCAUGGAUUAACCCAGAAGGCUCGUGAGUGCCUAGAUGCAUCUGCUAAAGGAUCAUUCUUGGAGCUUACAACUGGAAAAGCAAAGAUACUUUUGGAUAAGAUAGCAGAAAACCAAAGCUGGUUCCAAGAUAAAGCUCAACAAUGUCAUCAAACUGAAGAAAUACCAGAAGAAGUAAAUGCAUUAUCAACUAAGAUGGAAAAUUUGCUCCAUUGGAUUGACCAGAGGGCCAAGUUUAAAAAAGAUCAAAGGGCCAUUGAGACAGCAUACAAAUAUCAACCAACUUCAAGUCAACCCAAUAGCAAAGGUAUGAAUUCAGGUAAUACUGUCAAACAACUUUCAUUAAAAGAGAUAAUUGCUCAACAAACCAAAAUUAAUGAUGAAGUUAAACAAAGGCUAGAUACAAAUGAAUCAUCUCUAAAAGAUAUACACAAAAAAUGGAUUUUCUAAUAACUGCCUUUGAUGAGCAAAACACUCUUAAUAAAAGGGUAUAGCUUAAAUUAAUAAAGAUAGCUGCUGCACUGCCUGUUGCUACUAACAUUGAGCAGGUAAAGAAUAUAACUACUAGAGGAGGCAAAGCUACCAGAGAUCCACCAUACCCAAGAGAGAAACAAAGAACAUCAGCACUAGUGCAACCAGCAGUGAUAGAAGAGGAAAGCCCAGUUGAAGCAGAAGAUCUGCUCCAACCACCGAGAACUGGAGAAAUGAGGAAAGAUUUUUACGACACCAACUAUUUGCCAUUUCCCAGAAGAAACAGAGGACUGCAGUCGGAUGAGCAGUUUGGUAAGUUUGUAGAGGUCAUUCAGAAAUUAUACGUCAACAUACCUCUGCUCGAUGCCAUACAGGUACCUACAUAUGCAAAGUACAUCAGAGAUAUUCUUAACAAGAAGAGACCACUGCCCACCACUCAGGUUAUCAAGCUGACAGAAGAAUGUAGUGCGGCCAUCCUCAAUAAACCACCAAAGAAGAAGGAAGAUCCUGGAUGUCCCACUAUUGAUUGCUCGAUCAGAAACCAACACUUCAACGAUGCACUUUGUGAUCUCGGAGCAAGUGUCAGUGUGAUGCCAGCAUCAGUCUACAAAAAGCUUGAUCAUGCAGCCUUAGAACCAACAUCAAUGUGUCUACAAUUAGCGGAUCAAUCGGUUCGACACCCCUUGGGCAUCGCCGAGAACAUUCCAGUCAAGAUCAGAGAUUUCCUUGUGCCAGUAGACUUCGUAGUACUGGACAUGAGUCCUGACUCAAAAGUAUCCAUCAUCCUUGGAAGGCCAUUUCUGAGCACUGCCAAUGCCCACAUUGAUGUCGGGAAGGGAGAAAUCAAGUUCAACAUAAACGGUCAAGAAGAACACUUCACAUUCAAACCCAGACCAGAGAGAGACUCUACAGUAAAGGAAGUUCAUGAAGAACCACUGGAGACACCAUCUCUGGAGGAAGGUAACUCAGAAGAUUAAAAGAUUUGGAGGUCCAGCUUGGGGGACCUAAAAAUCCCAAACCCUCACCGGGAGGUAAAUCGGUAAUUAUCCGCAUUAUUAAUUUUCUCAUAUUUAAAUUCUUGCAUAAUUAAAACUUGCAUUAGUCAUAUUUAUUCAUAGCAUUAUUAUAAUAAUGAAAAGCCCCAUAUAAAUAAUAUUCAUGGUGUGUAACAACCCAUAUUUAUUAAUUAUUGUGGAGGCACAAAAAUAUUUUCCAUUAUCAUUUUAAUUUUCAAUUCUCAUAGAUUCUCCUGCAUUAUAUUUAAUUAUAUUAAUCUUCUAGAAGCUUGACCCACACUCCUUGGGUCCCACAUGUCAUACACCACACCACACAUACAUCCCAUCACAUAAUUUCAUCCACCAAUAUGUUUCCACUCACCAGACAUCUUUCCACCAUCCAACAACCACCACACAACAUUAUUCUGCGUGAGAUCAAAGCAAGGAAGCAAGUGGAGGAGGUACACUCAGGAUGGACACCAGGAGUGGGCACCCGCCCACCUACCAAGGGCACCCGCCCUGCUCCCUCUUCCUCCUAUAAAAGGCCACCUCCAGCUCCCCUUCUCUUCACACAAACACUCCAGAAAACCACACAAGCCUCAGUUUCCCGAGAAGGAGUUCUUGUAGUGAAGAGAAGAGAGUAGAGAGAAAGAGGAGAGUGGAAGGGAAGGUUGGAGUUCUUUUGAGAGAGUGAUUAUCACCUAGCAAGUAGUGAUCCCGUUGUCUAAGCGGAAGUAAAAGUUGUUUAGGGGAAGCUCUACCAAAAUAGAAAUUUGUCUUGAACGAUUAACCCCUGGACUACUGACAUUCCGGACAGCUGACCACUAACAUUUUCUCUCACAUUUUCUACUAGUUGUGUUUUUGCCAACUUUUGUUUACAGAAUGUUUAAGAAGGUGAAGAAUGCAGGGAAGGCUCUCAAGAACAUUGGUACAAGGAGAUCAGCUCGACACUCCUCACAGCCAUCAGAGAUGAGCGUCGACCCGACACCCACACAAGCUCCAUCAUCUUCAUCAGGUCAGCAAGUUAAGGUCCUUCUCAAGAUAGGAGACCUUGGACUGAAGACUCGAAGAGAGAAGGAAGUCUAUCAGCAGUUGAAGAACAAAGAUUUCAUUCACACCCCUACUAUCGAUCCAAUCUUACUACAAGAAACAGGUAUGGACACUGAAUUUGACUUAAUUUUCCAGAUGUUAGGUUGGACAAAUUUUUGGAACAUAACUGAGUUGGGUUAUCGUCUUCUCACCCUCGAAUUUCUUUGCACUUUACAAUACUAUGAGGGGGGAAUUGUUUUUCGGAUGUUCAAACAGGAAAUUAUGUUGUCUUGGAGAGAGCUAAGCGACCAUCUUGGUUUCUCUUCAAGAUGCAUCCUGAACAUUGACUCCGAUUUACCCAACUUUGAGAGACACCAGAUUUGGAGAGAAAUAUCUAGAGAUAAUUUUUACAGUCAAGCCCGAACCAGUGACAUGGAACACCCCACUCUUAGGAUGUUUCACAAAUGGCUUGGGUACAAUCUUUUCUAUCGCGAUGAUAUUAGGAAAGUAAGAGUAGGAGAUUUACAACUUUUAUAUGCUGCUAUUAGUAAAGUACCUACUUCACCUGUUACAUUAUUAGUUUCACAUUGGCUUAGUAUACCUAGUCUUCAAGGACCAGUAGGAUGUACUUCACUUAUCACUCGUCUAGCUUCUAAUCUUCACUUACUAGAAAACUCAUCGUUGGAUUUCAUAGAAGAAUUAAGAAUUUAUCAUGGCUAUGACACAUUUAGACAAGCUCGGAUGUUAAAGAAAGAGGGAAAUAUAAUGUAUAUGCUAUAUGAUGAUAAAGGCAAGAUUCGGUUACCUAACCCGAACCUUGGCCUCUACGUUGUGCAAAACUUUUUGAUUGAGAUUGCAGCAACACCAGUGAGCUAGAGAACUCCACAGCGAGUGGCAUCUGAAAGGAUAACCACUCACCGAGAACGCACCUGGUAUGGAGCUGACCCUGGACCAGAAGAAGCAGCGCACCUGCAUUAUUGCGAUUACAACCCUCGAGUCCUUCGAGACCCAUGGGUUCGACAUGCGCAACCACAAGAGCCAACAGAGGAGACAUGGCCGGAGAGCCAAGAUCACCAGUGGACAAACCCGCCUUUCCAUACGGGGAGGUACUCCACUGAUCCAUACGGAGCUUCAGGAUCCAGACCUCCGCCCCAAUUUGAUGCAGGACGAUACUCCGAAGCCUCCUACGCUUUCACGAAUGAUUACUAUCAAGAGGCCGGUGCUUUCUUCACUCGUACCGACAACACCCUCCUCGACAUCCAGAACACGCAAGCAGAACAUGGAAGACUCUUGGAAGAACAACAAAAAUGGAACCAGGAUCAUGCAGCUGCAGUAGAAGAGCUGAGACAAGAUACAACAACAAUGAACGACAACAUUACAACCAUGAUGCGGUUCUGGAACAUCGGGUAAGACCGACGUCAACAUCCAGCUUGGGGGAGUUCCUCCCAAAUUUAUCAAGUAAGUUUUUAUUUGCUCUUCUUAUUUAUUCUAUUCUGUCUUAGUAUUUAAUUUAUCUUAAAAGGAAAAACUUAGAAAACCAAAUAAAUAUUUUCUUGCUUUAAUUUCCUGCAUUUUAAUAAACAUGAAAACAAAACAAAAAGAGUGUGUAGAUAAGUGUGCUUUAUUUUCCUGUUAAGUUUAAUCUCUAGAAAAAAUAUAAAGACCAAAAAGAUGCAUGAUGGAAAUGAUGAACAAUUGCUCUGUUUGCUUACUUACAAGUACCUAGCUUUUAUAUUAGAAUUCUUCCAGGAAUUACUAAAACUAAAAUUAUUAUCUUUGGGAAGCAUAAAACUAAAGUCUAGGUAAGAGAAAGGCAUGAUAUAAAGUUGAGCUACUGUUUAUCCUGUUUCUACUACACUAAGUUCUGGAGAUUUAUUUUGAAAACUUACAAAUCACAUGAUGAGUUCCUAGCAUACAAAACUACCUACCACAGCUAUACUUGCUAUAACAUCUUUUACUAUAUUCACAUUGAGUUUGAUCGAGCUGUGUAGACCCUUAGGAGCUUUUCAUGUGGUUAAAUUAAGAUAUUCACUUGCACACAUCUACCACACCAUCCAUCACCAAUCAUUAAAAUUGCUAAAAAUAUUUUCACUCACUGUCCCGAAUAUUGUUAUUCUCUCUCUCUAAAAAGAUUCAAUGCAGAAGAGGCAUGGGUUAUGCAAAAAUAUGCGAGGAAAUAAAAAGGGGCAAGUGCCCGGAACCUCGAUAAAGAAAGAAAAAGAGUGAGACGAGAGGUAAAAAUGGACAAGUGUCCGAAGUAGAAUUAGGGGUACAAAGAUGCCCACUUGAGCGGAAAAAAUGGACAAGUGUCCGAUAGUAGAAUUAGGGGUAUCUACUACCCACCUGAAAAAAAAGAGAAAAGAUAGCCCAUGUUUUCCAAAAGCAAAGAUCAAAGAAGAGAAGAGGUAGCAACAUGAGGAGCAAUGAGAACUAAGUUUUAUUAACACUUAUACAUUUUCACCAUUACUAUCAUUUACUCCACCACACAUGCACAUCUUGAUUUAAUUAUAUGCUGAGUUCCUUUGGAUCCAUGGCUCGAUUAGACAAUAUAUGUAUGAGCUGUUUUUCACUCCUAUGAGCUCCACUUAAACAUUCCAUUAGCUAUAGGUAAGUGACAUUAUGGUAAGGAUCCACAAAUACCACAUAUAGAGAGACUUGAGAGAAUCAUUGCUGGGAACUCUGAGUUUUAUUUUAAAAACUUAUGAAAAACUCUAGAACAAAGGUGAAGUAUAGACAGGAGGGAUAGUGCUUGACUUAACUAUUUUGUCUUUCGAUUACUUAAGAUUUAAGUGCAGAUACUAAACUCCACAACACUUCACUCUAAUCUGGAAGAAUUUUAUGUAAAAGCAUGUGUGCCUGUCAGGAAAGAAAACAUCGAAGCAACUCCUGAUCCGUCUGAGUUUAGCUGUUUGCUCAGGGACGAGCAAAGGGUAAGCUUGGGGGAGUUUGUUGACGGUCCUUAAGUACUAAAAUUAAUAAUCAAAUAAACAUGGAAAAGGAUCAAUAUGAAACAAAUAUCUAGAAUUAGGGUUUUAUCUGACAGAAUUCCACGAGUUUUGGUGUUUAUCUAUUUCUGCAGGGGUUUAUCAGAAAAUAUGGAGAGAAGGCCCACAUGUCAUGUUUACAACGAGAUAAUUACGUGCCGCGCAAUUUUCCUCAAUCUAGAAGAAUCCAGAAGCCACGAGAACGAACGAGAAGGGAUUCGGGCUCAGGGGCAGGGCGCCCGCCCACCCCCCUUGGGCGCCCGCCCAGGGUAGGAGUCCAGUCAGGACUCUGCUUCGGGACAACGCUCCACCGACCUAAAGGAUCAAUCUAAACCAUACAAUCUAUGUCGGUUUGAUCCAAUGGCUCACGUUCACUUGAGGGGACUAUAAAACCAGACCCCCUAGCCCCUGGAGGAGAAGAGAAGAAAUCAUUAUUCAGAGGUAGCCAUCAAAGUUAGGGUUUAGAGCUUCUCUCCCACAGAGAAUUAGAAUUAGCUACUCCCUAAUCCUUCAAGUUUAGAGGUUUGAUUAGAUAGCAAUUAGAGAAGUCGAGCACUACGCUCUGGAUUCGGAUCUUCGGUAAUAAAGAUUGGUAUUAUUCAUAUCUUUCUCUAAUUCUAUUGUUCUAAUUGCAUUAUGUCUCUAAUUAUUAUGUUCUUAGUUUGUUCUAGUUCUAUAUUUGAUAUAGUUCUAAUUGAUAAUGAGUUUAUGUAUAAGUUUGCAAAGCACUUAGCUCUUGACGCGAGGGAGUUAGGUGAUAGAUCACAUGUGAGCGUGGUGCUUAGAUGUUAUUUAUCUGCAAAUGUAUCCUAUUGGCCGGGUCGUGUGGUAGUUCGCGAUAGUGACAGCUUCGUUGAUUCUUAUAUAGUCCACCCUCCGUUGAUAGGACAGGCAGAACCGGUAUUGUGGAGUAAGUCAUGCGAUGUUCUGAUUUACUUUAUCAAUGUUCCUUAUACAUGAAUGAAGAGUCUUUUAUGCUAUGUAUGAUCUUGUAGAUAACUAGAGUAGAUUAUGACUUAGUAGUUAGUAGAUAACUUAGAAUCCAUUCUCUAGCUAAUCCGACAUCACCUACAUAUAUGAGGAGUAGUCUAUUUUCUAAUCGCUGUGUUAUCUACCCAUGAACUUAUAAUUCAUUAUCAUUAUCUUUAUGGUUUACCCCUUGCUAAAGUAUGUGACUGUGUGAUGAGUUUCUCAUUAGUAAUCAUGUUCUUGCAAGUUUAUCUCUAGAUUAUGCCUUGAUAGAUUUUGCCCCCUUGAUUUAAUUUUAUUUUCUUGAGAUCCCUUGAGCAAAAUUAUAAAUAACGAUACCUGGAAUACUUAUCCUGGUGAAAUGCUACAAUGAGGUGUUUUAUCUGUGCGCUUGCGGAUAGAAUAGAUUAUUUUCUAGAGAGCCUUUACAUUUAUAAAUACCUUUGUACACUCUGGCGCCAUGCUAGGGAUGACAACCUAGUAUCUAAGUGGUGUUAGCUAGUGUCAACAAAAGGCAUGAUAUAAAGUGAGCUACUGUUUAUCUUGUUCCUACUACACUAAGUUCUGGAGAUUUAUUUUGGAAACUUACAAAGCACAUGAUGAGUUCCUAGCAUUACAAACUACCUACCACAGCCAUGUUUGCUAUAACAUCUUUUACUACACUUACAUUGAGUUUGAUCGAGCUGUGUAGACCUUUAGGAGCUUUUCAUGUGGUUAAAUUAAGAUAAUCACUUGCACACAUCUACCACACCAUCCACCACUAUUUAUUAAAAUUGCUAAAAAUAAUAUUAUCACUCACUGUCCCAAAUAUUGUUAUUCUCUCUCUCUAAAAAAAGAUUCAAUGCAGAAGAGGCAUGGGUUAUGCAAAAAUAUGCGAGGAAAUAAAAAGGGGCAAGUGCCCGGAACCUUGGAAAAGAAAGAAAAAGAGUGAGACGAGGGGUAAAAAUGGACAAGUGUCCGAAGUAGAAUUAGGGGGUACAAAGAUGCCCACUUAAGCGGAAAAAAUGGACAAGUGUCCGAUAGUAGAAUUAGGGGUGUCUACUACCCACCUGAAAAAAAAGAAAAAAAAAGAGAAAAAGAUAGCCCAUGUUCUCCCAAAGCAAAGAUCAAAGAAGAGGAGAGAUAGCAAUAUAAGGAGCAAAUUGAGAAGAAAGCUUUAUCAUUACUUAUAUAUUUUUACCAUCACUAUCAUUUACUCCACCACACAUGCACAUCUUGAUUUAAUUAUAUGCUGAGUUCCUUUGGAUCCAUGGCUCGAUUAGACAACAUAUGUAUGAGCUGUUUUUCACUCCUAUGAGCUCCACUUAAAUAUUCCAUUAGCUAUAGGUAAGUGAUAUUUUAAGGAUCCACAAAUACCACAUAUAGAGAGACUUAAGAGAAUCAUUGCUGGGAACUCUGAGUUUUAUUUUGAAAACUUAUGAAAAACUCUAGAACAAAGGUGAAGUAUAGACAGGAGGAAUAGUGCUUGACUUAAUUGUUUUGUCUUUGAAUUACUUAAAGACUUAAGUGCAGAUACUAAACUCCAUAACACUUCACUCUAAUCUGGAAGAAUUUUAUAAAAGCAUGUGUGCCUGUCAGGAAAGAAAACAUCGAAGCAACUUCUAAACCGUCUAAGUUUAGCUGUUUGCUCAGGGACGAGCAAAGGGUAAGCUUGGGGGAUUUUGUUGACGGUCCUUAAGUACUAAAAUUAACAAUCAAAUAAACAUGGAAAAUGAUCAAUAUGGACCAAACAUCUAGAAUUAGGGUUUUAACUGACAGAAUUCCACGAGCUUUGGUGUUUAUCUAUUUCUGCAGGGGGUUAUCAGAGAAUAUGGAGAGAAGGCCCACAUGUCAUGUUUACAACGAGAUAAUUACGUGCCGCGCAAUUUUGCUCAAUCUAGAAGAGUCCAGAAGCCACGGGAACGAACGAGAACACGAUCGGGCUCGGGGACAGGGCGCCCGCCCACCCCCCUUGGGCGCCCGCCCUGGCCAGGAGUUGGAUCAGGACUCUGUUUCGUGACUAAACUCCACCGACCUAAAGGAUGAAUCUAAACCAUACAAUCAAUGUCGGUUUGAUCCAACGGCCCAAAUUCACUUGAAAGGACUAUAAAACCAAGGCCUCUCCACCCCUGGAGGAGAGAGGAGAAGAGAAGAAAUCAUUAUUCAGAGGUAGCCAUCAAAGUUAGGGUUUAGAGCUUCUCUCCCACAGAGAAUUAGAAUUAGCUACUCCCUAAUCCUUGAAGUUUAGAGGUUUGAUUAGAUAGCAAUUAGAGAAGUAGAGCACUACGCUCUGGAUUCGGAUCUUCGGUAAUAAAGAUUGGUAUUAUUCAUAUCUUUCUCUAAUUCUUUGUUCUAAUUGCAUUAUGUCUGUAAUUAUUAUGUUCUUAGUUUGCUCUAGUUCUAUAUUUGAUAUAGUUAUGAUUGAUAAUGAGUUUAUGUAUAAGUUUGCAAAGCGCUUAGCUCUUGACGCGAGGGAGUUAGGUGAUAGAUCACAUGUGAGCGUGGUGCUUAGAUGUUAUUUAUCUGCAAAUGUAUCCUAUUGGCCGGGUCGUGUGGUAGUUCGUGAUAGUGACAGCUUUGUUGAUUCUUAUAUAGUCCACCCUCCAUUGAUAGGACAGGCAGAACCGGUAUUGUGGAGUAAGUCUUGCGAUGCUCUGAUUUACUUUAGCAAUGUUCCUUAUACAUGAAUGAAGAGUCUUUUAUGCUAUGUAUGAUCUUGUAGAUGACUAGAGUAGAUUAUGACUUAGUAGA